rnacentral:rRNA from 1 species
UACGUAGGGUGCAGGCGUUACUCGGAAUUACUGGGCGUAAAGCGUGCGCAGGCGGUUUGCUAAGACAGGUGUGAAAUCCCCGGGCUUAACCUGGGAACUGCGCUUGUAACUGGCAAGCUAGAGUGUGGCAGAGGGGGGUGGAAUUCCGCGUGUAGCAGUGAAAUGCGUAGAGAUGCGGAGGAACACCGAUGGCGAAGGCGGUUGGCUGGGCCGUUGCUGACACUGAUGCGCGACAGCGUGGGGAGCAAACAGG